rnacentral:rRNA from 1 species
GGACUACUAGGGUUUCUAAUCCUGUUUGCUCCCCUAGCUUUCGUUCCUCAGCGUCAGAAGUGGUCCAGCGAGCCGCCUUCGCCACGGGUGUUCCUGCAGAUAUCUACGCAUUUCACCGCUACACCUGCAAUUCCGCUCGCCUCUCCCACACUCGAGCACGGCAGUUUCGGAGGCAGCCUCUGAGUUGAGCCCAGAGAUUUCACCCCCGACUUGCCGCACCGCCUACGAACCCUUUACGCCCAGUAAUUCCGAGCAACGCUGGCCCCCUACGUAUUACCGCGGCUGCUGGCAC